rnacentral:rRNA from 1 species
AGUGAACGCUGGCGGUAGGCCUAACACAUGCAAGUCGAACGGCAGCACAGUAAGAGCUUGCUCUUACGGGUGGCGAGUGGCGGACGGGUGAGGAAUACAUCGGAAUCUACUUUUUCGUGGGGGAUAACGUAGGGAAACUUACGCUAAUACCGCAUACGACCUACGGGUGAAAGCAGGGGAUCUUCGGACCUUGCGCGAUUGAAUGAGCCGAUGUCGGAUUAGCUAGUUGGCGGGGUAAAGGCCCACCAAGGCGACGAUCCGUAGCUGGUCUGAGAGGAUGAUCAGCCACACUGGAACUGAGACACGGUCCAGACUCCUACGGGAGGCAGCAGUGGGGAAUAUUGGACAAAGGGCGCAAGCCUGAUCCAGCCAUACCGCGUGGGUGAAGAAGGCUUUCGGGUUGUAAAGCCCUUUUGUUGGGAAAGAAAAGCAGCAGGUUAAUACCCCGCUGUUCUGACGGUACCCAAAGAAUAAGCACCGGCUAACUUCGUG